GAGUUUGAUCAUGGCUCAGGAUGAACGCUAGCGGCAGGCUUAACACAUGCAAGUCGAGGGGCAGCAGGGGUAGCAAUACCCGCUGGCGACCGGCAAACGGGUGCGGAACACGUACGCAACCUUCCCAGAACUGGUGAAUAGCCCUCGGAAACGAGGAUUAAUACACCGUAAGAUAUAGUAGUGGCAUCACUGUUAUAUAAUAGCUCCGGCGGUUCUGGAUGGGCGUGCGUCUGAUUAGGUAGUUGGUGGGGUAACGGCUCACCAAGCCAACGAUCAGUAACUGGUGUGAGAGCACGACCAGUCACACGGGCACUGAGACACGGGCCCGACUCCUACGGGAGGCAGCAGUGAGGAAUAUUGGUCAAUGGACGCAAGUCUGAACCAGCCAUGCCGCGUGAAGGAUGAAGGCGUUCUGCGUUGUAAACUUCUUUUAUCUGGGAAGAAACCUACGAUUUCUAUCGUAGCCGACGGUACCAGAGGAAUAAGCACCGGCUAACUCCGUGCCAGCAGCCGCGGUAAUACGGAGGGUGCAAGCGUUAUCCGGAUUCACUGGGUUUAAAGGGUGUGUAGGCGGAUAUUUAAGUCAGUGGUGAAAUCUCCAGGCUCAACCUGGAAACUGCCAUUGAUACUAUUUAUCUUGAAUAUUGUUGAGGUAGGCGGAAUAUGUCAUGUAGCGGUGAAAUGCUUAGAUAUGACAUAGAACACCGAUUGCGAAGGCAGCUUGCUAAACAAUUAUUGACGCUGAGGCACGAAAGCGUGGGGAUCAAACAGGAUUAGAUACCCUGGUAGUCCACGCCCUAAACGAUGAUUACUGGACAUUUGCGAUAUACAGUGAGUGUCUGAGCGAAAGCAUUAAGUAAUCCACCUGGGAAGUACGUCCGCAAGGAUGAAACUCAAAGGAGUUGACGGGGGUCCGCACAAGCGGUGGAGUAUGUGGUUUAAUUCGAUGAUACGCGAGGAACCUUACCUGGGCUAGAAUGCGAGUGACCGUCUCUGAAAGGAGAUUUUCUAGCAAUAGACACAAAGCAAGGUGCUGCAUGGCU
rnacentral:rRNA from 1 species